rnacentral:piRNA from 1 species
UCGUCUAAUUGUGCACAUGACACGCGAU